rnacentral:rRNA from 1 species
AGGAUGAACGCUGGCGGCGUGCCUAAAACAUGCAAGUCAUACGGUCUACCUUCGGGUAGACAGUGGCAAACGGGUGAGUAACACGUGGGAACACGCCUUCGAGUGGGGAAUAACGCUGAGAAAUCAGUGCUAAUACCGCAUAUGGUCUAACGACUAAAGCAGUAAUGCGCUCGGAGAGUGGCCCGCGUCCGAUUAGCUAGUUGGUGGGGUAAUGGCCUACCAAGGCGGUGAUCGGUAGCUGGUCUGAGAGGAUGGUCAGCCACACUGGGACUGCGAACGGCCCAGACUCCUACGGGAGGCAGCAGUUAGGAAUUUUCGGCAAUGGACGAAAGUCUGACCGAGCGACGCCGCGUGGAGGACGAAGCCUUUCGGGGUGUAAACUCUUUCUGCGGGAAGAUAAUGACGGUACCGCAGGAAUAAGCACCGGCUAACUACGUGCCAGCGCCGC